rnacentral:rRNA from 1 species
GAGUUUGAUCCUGGCUCAGAUUGAACGCUGGCGGCAGGCCUAACACAUGCAAGUCGAACGGUAACAGGAAGAAGCUUGCUUCUUUGCUGACGAGUGGCGGACGGGUGAGUAAUGUCUGGGAAACUGCCUGAUGGAGGGGGAUAACUACUGGAAACGGUAGCUAAUACCGCAUAACGUCGCAAGACCAAAGAGGGGGACCUUCGGGCCUCUUGCCAUCGGAUGUGCCCAGAUGGGAUUAGCUAGUAGGUGGGGUAACGGCUCACCUAGGCGACGAUCCCUAGCUGGUCUGAGAGGAUGACCAGCCACACUGGAACUGAGACACGGUCCAGACUCCUACGGGAGGCAGCAGUGGGGAAUAUUGCACAAUGGGCGCAAGCCUGAUGCAGCCAUGCCGCGUGUAUGAAGAAGGCCUUCGGGUUGUAAAGUACUUUCAGCGGGGAGGAAGGGAGUAAAGUUAAUACCUUUGCUCAUUGACGUUACCCGCAGAAGAAGCACCGGCU